rnacentral:rRNA from 1 species
UACGUAGGGUGCGAGCGUUGUCCGGAAUUAUUGGGCGUAAAGGGCUCGUAGGCGGUUUGUCGCGUCGGGAGUGAAAACUCAGGGCUUAACCCUGAGCCUGCUCCCGAUACGGGCAGACUAGAGGUAUGCAGGGGAGAACGGAAUUCCUGGUGUAGCGGUGGAAUGCGCAGAUAUCAGGAGGAACACCAAUGGCGAAGGCAGAUCUCUGGGCCGUAACUGACGCUGAGGAGCGAAAGCAUGGGGAGCGAACAGG